rnacentral:rRNA from 1 species
UACGUAGGGUGCAAGCGUUAAUCGGAAUUACUGGGCGUAAAGCGUGCGCAGGCGGUUCGGAAAGAAAGAUGUGAAAUCCCAGGGCUUAACCUUGGAACUGCAUUUUUAACUGCCGGGCUAGAGUAUGUCAGAGGGGGGUAGAAUUCCACGUGUAGCAGUGAAAUGCGUAGAGAUGUGGAGGAAUACCGAUGGCGAAGGCAGCCCCCUGGGAUAAUACUGACGCUCAUGCACGAAAGCGUGGGGAGCAAACGGG